UACCUGGUGUUUUUGAGUUGUGUUUUUUUGCAGUUCAUCAUAUCGUCCCUGAGUCUGUCUUGCCAAUUCGUCCUCCCUGGUGGACAGAGACGCUCACACUGAUCAGUAACGCACAUUUAAA